rnacentral:rRNA from 1 species
CCUACGGGAGGCAGCAGUGAGGAAUAUUGGUCAAUGGACGCAAGUCUGAACCAGCCAUGCCGCGUGCAGGAAGACGGCUCUAUGGGUUGUAAACUGCUUUUGUACAGGAGUAAAGGGAGAUACGUGUGUCUGUUUGCAAGUACCGUACGAAUAAGGAUCGGCUAACUCCGUGCCAGCAGCCGCGGUAAUACGGAGGAUUCGAGCGUUCUCCGGAUUUAUUGGGUUUAAAGGGUGCGUAGACGGUCUGAUAAGUUAGGUGUGAAAUCCCGCGGCUCAACUCCGGAAUUGCAUUUGAUACUGGGAGGCUAGAGUGCAGUUGCGGUAGGCGGAAUGCAUGGUGUAGCGGUGAAAUGCUUAGAUAUCACGCAGAACACCGAUUGCGAAGGCAGCUUACUAAGCUGCCACUGACGUUGAGGCUCGAAAGUGUGGGGAGCAAACAGGAUUAGAUACCCGGGUAGUC